rnacentral:lncRNA from 1 species
GGCUUGUAUUGUGUAAUCCACUCCAAUUCCCUUUUCAAUGGUGGCUCUAAAUACAUCCAUCUUGACAGGUGCUGCACAUUCCUGCCCUCUAUUUUGAAUCACAUUAAUGGCAAAACAAGAAUGAACAUCAUUAGGAUACUUAACAGAUUCAGAAACAGUAAAAUUAAUCAUAUCGCCAUUAAACUCCAUAGUUAACAACGCUCCAUUUGUUGGAAAUAUGCCCUGAAAGUCAAUCUUUGGAAGAAACCUUUCAGGACAAAUGAAUGCAUGUAUAGAUGAAUCUUAUACAUCAAAUGGCAAAGAUACUAAUUAGGACUAUCUCAAUAAACGAUAUAUGUCCUAAAUAGUGAAUCCAUGGACAAUGGAUCAAUUGAAGAAGUAAUCUAAUGAUGUUAGACUACAGAGACCUUCUUCACAUAACCAUAAUGUCCAAAAAGGUUCCUAGUCAUUGGAUUGUCGGAGGGAUACUGACAAUGCUUAGACCAGUACAUACUGUGUCUACUUCAAAUGGAAGGAUGGAAAGUCUCAUCCCAUUCGUGUGGUGACACUAAGACAAGUAUGUAGGUGCUCAUUAAGGGAAUGAGUUCACUGAACACAAUCGAACGAGAGUACUUGCAUGGAGGUCUACUCACAUGUCAAGCAAGUAACUCUAAUGGUUGGAAUAAUGUAAGUAGUCCUUUGACCUGAGGCAUCGUCGUUGUCUUGUGGAUAAGUACUUAAUCUUUGAUUAUGUCAAAGUCACCCCAUUCGUGGGUGUCCACGGCAUAAUUGGGGUUAAGCCACUUAGUCAUGAAGGCAAGUGAAUGCGCAACAAGGAAUCUCUAAUCCUCGAUAAGAGAUUCAGAAUACUCUAAGAUAUGAUUCGGGAAUCUUCGGCCGAAGUAUCGAGCGUAAUAAAGGAAAGCGUUCCUAUACAACUCAAUUGAAUAAUAUAAGAAGGAAUAAUCACAUUAGGGGUUUGACAUGAUAUAUCCAUACCCUAGUAAUGUGAUUGAGAGUAUUGUUUUAGAGAAGGAUCGAAU